GCUGGCGGCGUGCCUAACACAUGCAAGUCGAACGAGAAAGUGGAGCAAUCCAUGAGUAAAGUGGCGACCGGGUGAGUAACACGUGACUAACCUACCUUCGAGUGGGGGAUAACCUCGGGAAACCGAGGCUAAUACCGCAUAACAUCGCAAGAUCAAAGCAGCAAUGCGCUGGAAGAGGGGGUCGCGGCUGAUUAGCUAGUUGGCGGGGUAACGGCCCACCAAGGCGAAGAUCGGUAUCCGGCCUGAGAGGGCGCACGGACACACUGGAACUGAAACACGGUCCAGACUCCUACGGGAGGCAGCAGUGGGGAAUUUUGCGCAAUGGGGGAAACCCUGACGCAGCAACGCCGCGUGGAGGAUGAAGCCCCUUGGGGCGUAAACUCCUUUCGACCAAGACGAUAAUGACGGUACUGGUGGAAGAAGCACCGGCUAACUCUGUGCCAGCAGCCGCGGUAAUACAGAGGGUGCGAGCGUUGUUCGGAAUUAUUGGGCGUAAAGGGCGCGUAGGCGGUGCCACAAGUCACCUGUGAAAUCCCCGGGCUUAACUC
rnacentral:rRNA from 1 species